GCUCAAGCCAACUUCAUUUUGCUGGCGAUGAUGAAAGAACAGUGCUGAAUUCCAAAGCAGCUGCUUCCCAGCUCAGUUUCACUCAGUAUGGAAGAGCCAUAAGGCUGUGAUUCAAACUGAAGACAUUAGUCUGUUCAGAGGUUCAGAGUGACCAGAGUGCUCCGCUGUUGUAACCAAUUUGUUGUCAAGUCCAGAAGGAGUUGAAGAAAAUAAAGUGAAAAUCCAUUCAAGAAAAAUAAUCAAAGGAUUUGGACGAAACAGGUUGGAUGUACUUCCCGGUUAGUGGAUUACAACAGGAGAGAAAAGUGCCUGUGC
rnacentral:lncRNA from 14 species